rnacentral:rRNA from 1 species
AACGAACGCUGGCGGCAGGCCUAACACAUGCAAGUCGAGCGCGCCCUUCGGGGUGAGCGGCGGACGGGUGAGUAACGCGUGGGAACGUGCCCUUUUCUACGGAAUAGCCUCGGGAAACUGAGAGUAAUACCGUAUACGCCCUUUGGGGGCAAGAUUUAUCGGAAAAGGAUCGGCCCGCGUUGGAUUAGGUAGUUGGUGGGGUAAUGGCCUACCAAGCCGACGAUCCAUAGCUGGUUUGAGAGGAUGAUCAGCCACACUGGGACUGAGACACGGCCCAGACUCAUACGGGAGGCAGCAGUGGGGAAUCUUAGACAAUGGGGGCAAGCCUGAUCUAGCCAUGCCGCGUGAGUGAUGAAGGCGUUAGGGUUGUAAAGCUCUUUCAGCUGGGAAGAUAAUGACGGUACCAGCAGAAGAAGCCCCGGCUAACUCCGUG